UCAUAAUGAAUCUGCUGCCCCAAAUAAGAAAUUGACAGACAGCGGAGCUGGCUAGCACAGCAAGCUAGCUAUCCCAUCCGAUUUAUAUUUCACUCGUCCAGAAUUACGUGUCUAGCUAAUAUUUCAGAUCCAUAACGACGCAGGGGUUUAUACUGUUGUAAACGAGGUUGUUUACGAUGGAGUAAAUGUCUGCUAGCCAGCUAACGUUAAAGGGCGUGCUAAGCUUGUGAGCUAGCUAGCUAACAUUGGAAUUCCAGCUGUCUUGACAGCCAUCAUCGAAGACGUAAAUAAAACAUUUAAAAAAUACUUGUUCAAUCUCAGUAGCAUGGACUCAAAUGUGCAGAAGAGACGUGAGAACAAGAAAUCACUGCGAGUGAAAGUGAUCAGCCUUGGCAACGCCGAGGUGGGCAAGAGCUGCAUCAUCAAGCGAUACUGUGAGAAGAGGUUUGUGCCCAAGUAUCUGGCCACCAUAGGGAUUGACUAUGGGGUCACCAAAGUCCAGGUGCGUGACAGGGAGAUCAAAGUGAAUAUCUUUGACAUGGCAGGACACCCCUUCUUCUACGAGGUUCGUAAUGAGUUCUAUAAGGACAGCCAGGGAGUGGUGUUGGUGUAUGAUGUUGGUCUGAGGGAGAGUUUUGAUGCGCUGGACAGCUGGCUCGGGGAGAUGAAACAGGAGAUGGGCUCCAUGGUUAACAUGGAGAGCAUUGUCUUCGUCGUCUGUGCCAACAAGGUGGACCUGACUAAGCGUCGUGUAGUAGACGAGGGAGUGGGCAGGCUAUGGGCGGAGUCUAGAGGGUUCCAUUACUUUGAGACAUCAGCACAGAGCGGAGAGGGCAUCAGUGAGAUGUUCCAGGCGUUUUUCUCCUCCAUAACGGACAUGUGUGAGAACGGCGGGAAGCGCCCGGUGGCGGAGGUCAGUGUCGGCUUCACCAAGGAGCAGGCCGACACCAUCCGACGCAUACGCAACAGCAAGGACUCCUGGGAUAUGCUGGGGGUAAAACCUGGAGCCACACGGGAGGAGGUUAACAAGGCGUACAGGAAGCUGGCAGUGCUGCUCCAUCCGGAUAAGUGCGUUGCCCCGGGCAGUGAGGAUGCCUUCAAGGCCGUGGUGAACGCUCGCACCUCCCUGCUCAAGAACAUCAAGUAGACGCUCCGCCAAUCAACGCCAGCAAGGGACUCCGGUCAAUGCUCUACCCUCCACCCUGACCCCUGACCCCUCGCCCCAGAAUGUCAUCAGCCUUUUCUGCCCUCUCCCAAUCAGCAAAACCAACCCUUUCCCCCGUCCCUGCUCUCCAACCCUUCCCACCAGAUGCCAUGACAUUUUGCUACAACAGAGUUUUAUAAUGUCAUUACUGAUGAUGUGCCACAGAAACUCUGUCUCUCUGUGUAAGGAAGACUUAUCAAUGCUUUAAACAACUGUCAUCUUUCACACACUGGAGAGAGAAGUCAAUGGACGACUGGUGGAGCCAAAGUCAUGGUGCAGUACACGCACACAGCCAGGCCCAGAGCAGAGCAGGUCAGGGAAGGGCAAGGCAGGGAGCUUUGGGCCCAUCUGGUCAGCCAAUCGUCUCAUUACCUUGGCUCAGGGCUAAGAGCAAAGCCACUAAACCCUUUCCCCCUCUGUGACGGGAUGCAAGCGCCAGCCUUUACCUAACCUUACUUUAAUACAUUACAGUUACUUAUCUAUCCACUGGACCCGACUGGAUUGGACUGGCUCUGUUUCGCUUUUUGCCCCAAGCUGAAUAUUUUCUGGAUUAAAAAUAUAUCUGACGGGAUAGAAGGUUGUGAGAGGGAGACGGUUAACUGAUCACUAAAUCGGUUAGCAGAGAAACAGGAAGGGAAGGGGAAAGAGGAGAAAGAGGACUGAAGAAGAAGAAGAAGAAGAAGAAGAAGAAGAAGACUGGAAGACUGAAAGGUGAAGAAAAGACGAGUAGUUUUGAAAAGGUUGUUCUUCUGAAGUGGUGUAUGAAAAAUAACAUGGAGUAGAAAACAUGGAGGCAAAGAUGACGUUGUUCUGAGCAGGAACAGGUUAACUGGUGUCUGAUGGAAGAGUCGUGUCGUACCAUACAACUACCACGCUGAAUUCUAGAUCUCAUGAGUAGACGACAUGCUCCCGUGCUGGAUGUACACGCCUCAUCACCACCAACUCAUCCACUAUGGCUGUCUCUCACUCUCAGUCUCUAACACAUCCUUGGACGUUCUGAACCCCCUACUCCUGGACCAAAUCACCUCAACGUGGCGGUCCAGAACGGCGUAGUCAUGGCGACCUGUGCAGGGGAGGAGAGUAGGUGCGAGCCGCGGCGCUCCAGUGACAUCACACUGCAGCCGCCAGUCCUUUCUGUACACAUCAGUCCCGCCAUUUCCUCCUCAAGCCUGCGGAGGAAACGUGUGAUGUGGCAGAGCGCCGUGCGACAUGUCAUCGACCGGCGAGACCUCUAUCCUCCAACCUCUGACCUCGAGAGAGGGACAGGGGGAGGGGGAGGGGGAGCAGGGACCCGCAUAGUGCUCACAGACG